GAAGGACGGCAGCGCGCAGGCGCGAGAUCAGCGUUCGUUGAACACGUGACGCUGGACCUGCGCCCGCUACGCACGGCGUCUGGCAGCGCUUUAGGCUCUGGAUAAAAGUCCCGGUGCUCUGAGAAGCAGAUGCCAAGACAGCAUUAAAUAAGGAAAUUAUGGCCAGUGUAAAAUGCUUGUGCUAAAAAACAAUGGGGAGAGGUCGGAUAUGGUUGGGAGACAAAUCAGACCCUGAUGCAAGUCUGAUCCCAAAUGAGGAAGAGAGAAGAAGAAUGGGAAGAAGGAAGUUUGGCUGGGACCUUGUAGACUUCACUACAGUCAAUGGAAGGUUCAGCAAAGCUAUGGUUUCUUCCUCUACAAAAUGAAGAUGACAGUACACCCCCCCACCAAGGAUCAUUAUGAGGAUUAAGGAGACAUCAUUUAAAAUGGAUCCUGAUAUACAGUAA